AUUGAACGCUAGCGGGAUGCUUUACACAUGCAAGUCGAACGAGUGGCGGACGGGUGAGUAAUAUAUCGGAACGUGCCCAGUAGAGGGGGAUAACUACUCGAAAGAGUGGCUAAUACCGCAUACGAUUGGAGCGGCCCAUAUCGGAUUAGCUAGGUGGUGGGGUAAAGGCUCACAAAGGCAACGAUCCGUAGCUGGUCUGAGAGGACGACCAGCCACACUGUGACUGAGACGCGGCCCAGACUCCUACGUGAGGCAGCAGGGGGGAAUAUUGGACAAUGGGGGAAACCCUGAUCCAGCCAUCCCGCGUGUAUGAGAAGGCCUUCGGGUUGUAAAGUACUUUUGGCAGAGAAGCGGUAUCUGCAGAAUAAGCACCGGCUAACUACGUGCCAGCAGCCGCGGUAAUAC
rnacentral:rRNA from 1 species